UGUUGUGGAUAAAAGGCCAAACUGUUUUUUUUUUCCAAAGGGCAAAUCUGUUCUCGGUCAUUUUGAACCACUACAAAUUUAUCUUUGAUGGCCAGUAAUUUAAAAAAAAUUGCAAAUGUACCAAAAUGAUCUCAGAAAACCCAGACCUACGAGUAAACAAAAUAAUACGAGGGUGGAUUAAAAAGUAUCGCCAACAGUGCUCUGGAGGAGAGCCUAUAUGGAGGUACGAGUAUUUUGAACCAAAUGAGCGCUCAUUUUAUAGCUUGAAGUUUUAGGAAGACGGUGGUGUGUUCAGUUUUUAGAUACCUACAACUCGAAAAAAUGUUGAUCGUAUUUGAAAUUUUUGAGAAAAGUUAUUCGGUUGAUGGGGCUGGAGUAUCGUACAUUGCGGUCUAGUAGCAAGUCUAAUAUCUAUAUCAAGCAGUGUGUGCAAUCAUUUGAUAGUCCAAAGCCUCAGGAACACGGCGGUGUAUUCAGUUUUUUUUGUUUGACUUGUACAAAUAUUCUUGAAUGAAUUCAACGAGAUCAUGGUAUAGCUAAGUGAUGUUAAUUUUCACUAAAAAAAAAACGCCCAAGUCACUUUGGACAUGUUCAACAUUGUUACAGCAUGUUGUACAGAAAAACUAAAUACAUCACCAUGUUCCUGUAACUUCAGACUACAAAAUUACUGCUCAUGCAGCUUGCUAUAAGAAUUAGUCUCGCCGGUAGAGCGCAAAGUGUACCUACUUGUGUAUCCUGCAUGACCUGAAAUUUUUUCCUCGGCCCAUUCGAAGGCCUCCAAAAUUUUUUCUAUAACUCAUAUCGUGUACCUGAGACUUCAGGCUACAAAAUCACAACUUCUUUCUCAAUAGAAAUGAAAUGAGGAAGGAUCGAGAUGACGGAUUUGCUAAACUAUUUGAACCUGAACCAAAGACCAAAAAUUCAG